rnacentral:miRNA from 1 species
ACUCGAAUUGGCGUCAAAA